GGAAAAAAUCAAUACUGCUUGUGUGACGUCAAGUAAACGAACGAAACGACACACACCAAAGUUUCACCGAAUUAAACGAAAAAAAGAAGAAAUUUGUUACGACUUGUGCUUAGGGUUUUUUGUGAUAUUUUCGGCAGAAAAAAUGUUUAAAACUAGAAAAUUUCACGCGCAAAACAAUGUCCGUACGUAUGCGGAUCGAUUCGUGUAACAGACGUGCCAUUUUACAAAAGUUUUCUGUGUAAAAAAGUAUUAUAAGACCACAUGCCGGUUUGAAUGAAUUCAGAGGCGGAGCAAAAACACAUUCGCGAUAAAUAUUGAAAAUAAUUUAAAAUCCAAAAAAAAAUUCAAAAAUUCACAACAAAAAUAAUGUUUCGUGGAAAACUGUAAAAAAAUGUUAAACGACGAUCAGUGUGCGUGCUACAUGUGUAUGUUGUGAAAUUUCCAGUAACAAUCUGGUGUGUGCCACGCGUGCAAACGGGAAUUUAGCGUUAAUUUUCCGGCAACCAGAUUAAGAUGGCCGACAUGCCCGAUUUAUCGCAUCUGACCGCUGAAGAGCGAGCUAUCAUCGAGGGUGUGAUGAUGCGCCAGAAACAGGAGGAGGAACGAGAAAACGAGAUAAUGAGGCGAAAACAAGACGAAGUAGCAGUGCUCGAAGAUACGAUACGGCAACGAUCGGAGCAGCAAAAGAAAGCUGGAGUGGAAUUAGACGCAACGUGCCACAUUUGUUUGAAGACCAAAUUUGCGGAUGGUGUCGGACACAUAUGCCACUAUUGUAAUAUUAGGUGUUGUGCGCGAUGUGGAGGAAAGGUCACCUUGCGUAGCAAUAAGGUAAUUUGGGUCUGUAUCCUAUGCCGCAAAAAACAAGAACUUUUAUCGAAAACCGGUCAGUGGAUAAAUAAAGUACCUGAAAGUGACAGCUACAUUCGUCGCAUCGAGCCUCAUAUGAGUGGAUCACUUCUACCGGAUUCACAAGAUAUGUCAGAUAAGCGACCGAAAUUGGAACGGGCCCGAAGCGCUGCAGAAAAAGAAAAUCAACCGCUACAACGAUCGGGCAGCCAAUUGAGACGCCAAUAUUCACAGCAAGAGCCACCGCGACGAAUGUCCUCAGAGGGUGUGGAUAGUACAAUGAUGCUGCCACAACGGCGAAUGCAAUCACAGAACCAACAAUACCAACAGCAACAACAACAACAACAACAACAACAAAUUCAACAUCAGCAGCAGCAGCAGCAACCACAACAUCAACAGCCACACCAUCAACAGUACCAACAACCAUCCGUUUAUCAAAGUCACCAACAACAAAUUGGUACAAACAAUCCGCACCAGUUUCAUGCACAACAUUCUGUGAUCGGUCACACACAUUCGAUGUAUCCAGAUGAUGAUCCGAAGUAUUAUCAGGGUGAACUUGAUGGACUUAUGCGUCAACAUCCACACCUGGUGCAUCCGAGGCAACAACAGCAUUACACGCAACAAAAACAACACGAUAUCCAGCAUCAUUCAAUGCCACAAACACUAGGUCUUAGUUCAGACGUACAAAACAAGCACAAACGACCUCUCGGAGGACCAUAUCUAACGCAACAACGAUCAUUUAGCAGUUCCGAGGAGGAACUACGUUGCACACCCACUGAUUUUGAUGCGGCCACUCACACCAAGCCACUUAAUCAUACUCGGCUCAGCUCAAAUCCAAUCGAUAAUCCAACAAAACUGGAUGUCAAUCAUCAUAAUUACAAUCGUUCAAACCAUCAACGACAUCCAAUCAAUCAAAAGCAUAUUUUAACAACAACGGAACAAUCAUUAACCACAUAUGAUCGGUAUCCGAUCGAUCCAGAUCCAUAUUGGGAUGAACAAGCGGACACACGGCGAUUUACCGAACGAAGAAAGAAAACGGUAAGAUUUGAUGGACAGGACUCGGACGAUUGGAGCAGAUGGGAAGCGGAACGGCAAGGUAGUCAAGAUUCUGCCACAAAGGAUUCGGGUAUCGAAACUAGCAGUACGUUUACGAGUAGCGAAGAUUCGAAUCGUGGUGAUGUGCCGAAGAAUCCUGUAAAUUGGCAAGUAUCAUCGGAUGGCCUACGUAUUAUCGGUCACAUGAUACUACGUAAAAGUAAUGAAGGUGAUGAUAUAUUGGGUUUGAAAAUUGUUGGUGGUCAAAUAUUAUCCAGCGGGCGAUUAGGUGCAAUUAUUGAAAAAGUUAAGCGGGGAUCGAUAGCUGAUCAAGAAGGACAUAUCCGACCAGGUGAUGAAGUUAUUGAAUGGAACGGAAGACCAUUACAUGGCUUAUCGUCGGCUGAGGUUGCCGAUUUAGUUGCCGAUAGUAGGCAAGAAUCUCAAGUAGAAUUAAUUGUAUCACGCUUAAUAGCAGCUACAAAUCGAAGAGCUGUUCAGUCAUCUUGGAUUCAUUCUCAUUCCCCUACUAGGUUUUAUCACAAAGAACCGUAUGAUCGACGUGACAAGCCAGCAGUAUUAGUUACAUCACCCGGUUCGCCAGACAUACACAUAAGUGGUCGUGGAACAACCGCUCAAACAACACGUUACGCAAAUCGACUAACACCAGCUGGACCAAUACCGAUCGAGUCAAACAUUGGUGGACGCAUUCAAAUAAAACUGGGCUUUGAAUCGAGUUCUUUGCAAUUGAUUGUUACAAUUAUUUGUGCAGUCGGACUGACGCUUAGAGCGAACGGAGCUUCUAGGAAUCCAUAUCUUAAAAUUUACUUGCUUCCCGAUCGAAGUGAUAAAUCGAAACGUCGUACGACAACAUUAGCCAGCACAAACGAUCCUCGUUGGGGUCAAACGUUCAUUUUUUCUGGUUUCAGGAGGACUGACUUAAAUAAUAAAGUACUCGAGAUUACUGCUUGGGACUAUCUACGCUUUGGUGCUAAUGAUUUUCUUGGUGAAGUAGUUCUAGGUUUAUCGAAUCAUCCGCUGGAUGAUGAAGCUGAAUGGUAUACAUUACAUUCGCAUCAUGAUUCCCACAACUACCACUUACGUAGAGAUGAUGAUAUGGAAAUGAUAUUAACUCCUACUGAUCAUUUAUCACCGCCAAGCACAACAUCCCGCCUAAGUGAUUCGGAUACAACAUCUGAAUGUGAUAUUGAUGGCAUUACGGCAAGCCGAGAUGGUGCAAGUAUAUCAUCAUUAGGAAGUUCAUCGAGUCCUCCACCAGAGGCGGAGUCUUUGGAAAGGCGAUCUCGGCGGGACAUGUCACCGCAAGGUCGUAAACGAGCAACUGCAAUGGUAGCACGUGAUUGUCGAACGGUUUCGGGGAUCGGACAAAGCUAUCACAGUAAUCAAGUGACAUCACAUAACGUAAUUCCACCACGAAACGGUACAAUGUCUUUAAAUCAGCGAAGUCAUUCGGCUGCGCCAAGCGACCAUUAUCGUAGCAAUAGUCCACGAAGGGGUUCCUUAUCACCACCAGAUGAGCGGUACGCCGAUUAUCCAGCUCUUCCGAUUCAACAGUAUGGAUCCAGAUUUCAGUCACGGUCUGCCACAGCCACUCCAACUGGAUCGCCAAAGAAACGACAACUUCCACAGGUACCACACACAUCGAAUAGUCGAUCGGCGCUGAGAGAGCGGUUAGUGCAGGAUUUUGAGGAGCGCGGUGUCGGACGUUUUAGUCGGCAUCGGGCUAGACAAACGCAUCAUCAGCAUCAACAAACGUAUCGAAGUACUGGUAUGGGCGGCUGGGAGCGACACUAUGCCGGUUUAUCGGAUAGUGAUUUGACAAUGCAUUCGCUGGAGCCAAGAUUAAGACCGAGACAUUCGUUGUCUCCAGAUAAAGACUUUAUGGGCGAUUUCGGUGAUUCGGAUAUGGAAUCGGUAGUUAGUGUUACCUCAAGUGCAUUUUCAACACAAUCGGAACGACCACGAGGAUCUCGUGGACUCAGCAGUGACUAUGAUGUACGUGAUCGAGGACGUGGCCGGAACAGUAAUGGUGGCCGAGAUUCAUAUCGGGACAGGCACCAUCGUGAACGGGACUCAGACCGAGGGCUGAGCGAUCGGGAACAAAGAGAAUCAUUUAACCGAAGUUCAUUUAACCGCAGUAUGUCGAAUGCGGAGGGAACACCAGAUGAUAAGAUUGAUGGUAGCUUAAGUGAUACAGCAGUUAGUUUACAAGGAUUGGAGAUGUCACGACGACGACCUGAUCAACGUUCGCCGAAAAGUGAAACGUCACUCAAUCGGGACAGAGAUCGAUUCGGCUCUGGUAUGGGAAAGAAAAGUAACUCCACAUCACAAUUGUCGGCCACAGGUCGAAAGAGACGUAUGGGUUUCGGAAAAAAGGGUAAGAAUUCCUUUACUGUACAUCGAAGCGAAGAAAUACUUCCAGGGGAAAUGCGAGGGGGCCUGUCGCGAGGCUCUUCAGCAUCAAGCGAUGGCGAGGGAAGUGGUGGCGACGGUGACAGAUGGUCACCGUCUUUGCGCAUGGCUGAUGGUGGACCGUUGUCCGAUUUUAUUGACGGUUUGGGUCCGGGUCAGUUAGUCGGACGACAAGUUCUCGGCGAUCCGUCUAGAGGUGAUAUUCAAUUGUCAAUGUGCCAUCAAAAAGGUUAUCUGGAAGUGGAGGUCAUACGAGCAAGAGGAUUACAAUCAAAGCCUGGUUCGAAAAUUCUUCCCGCGCCUUAUGUAAAAGUAUAUUUAGUGUCUGGUAAAAAAUGUUUAGUUAAAAUGAAAACAACGACUGCUAGAAAAACAUUAGAUCCAUUAUAUCAACAACAAUUGGCAUUUCGAGAACCGUUUGCUGGGUGUAUUCUGCAGGUUACUGUUUGGGGCGAUUAUGGUCGCAUCGAGGGAAAAAAAGUGUUCAUGGGUGUUGCCCAAAUUAUGCUGGACGAUUUAAAUUUAUCGAAUAUUGUCAUUGGAUGGUACAAAUUAUUUGGAACAACAUCACUGGUCAGUGGACCACCCAGUUUGGGUCUAUCUAGACGUUCUUCAUUAGCAUCACUCGACUCACUUAAGCUAUAAAACCAAAUGAAGUCAUUCAUGUACCGUUCGUUUUUUUUGGUUCCGUUUUUUAUUUUAUUCGAAUUUUUCUUUUUGUGAUUUUGUCAAUUGUCCAGUUAUUCCACCGCUCCAAUCCAUUUAUUCAAGGCGCAAACACAAACAUCAUGUAACCAUAAAAUUUGCUGUGUUUUUGUUGUACGCAAAUACCAUCCUACUAUCAAACUGGACUCUAAAUUUCAUUUAUUUUUUUACUGAAAUCUGCAAUGACGUAGAACACUGACCUAACAAUUUGACCUAGAACAAAAGUCUUCAGUCUCAAGGACACGUAUGUCAUGCAUGCAUAACAUUUGACAACAAAGUCUAUCAAUUCGAAAAAUGACACAGACACAAAAUUGAGAUGCGGGAAAGGUAAUUGUGCAUCACAUUUGGUCGCACGUCUCACUGUGAUUCAAAUGUGACCACCGGAUUUUCGUAUGACAUAUUUUACGUGCAAAAGUUUGUUUGCAUCAGGAAAUAGUGUUAUCCAGAUGGUGAUCAUAGAUGAAUACGCAUCGGCAUAAAAGUCAUAUAACCGGCCGGUGAUGUUAUUUGAGUUUUACAUAGCUGAUGCGACUGACAUCCUUUUUGUAAUACAAAAUAUUCCCGGAACAACCAGACUGGCUGGAAGUGUAGGAAAAACAGACACACAAGGGGUGGAGGUGUUUGAAAUAAAUGUACCUUUCCCGAGACUCCUCAGUUAAAUUCACUUUUGCACUUGUGUGGUAAGGUAGUUUUCACGUCAAAAACGAACAUUUUAAAGCUGUAACUGUACAGUCACUCUCUCUCUUUCUAUUUUUGUUUUUUCUCUUACUUAAUUUGAACUGUUGUUUCCUUUUCUAUAUGAUUUAACUCUUUAUUGUGUUUGUAAUUUAUUGUGUUUAACAACUGUUGAUGUUAUACAAGAUCGAUACAGAUUUGGCGUAUCUAUUAGACACUACGUUCAUAAUUUAAAUUUUGAUCAAUUUUUUCUAUAAAUCUGUCUAACAUCCACUUCUAAGAAAGAAAAAGAAAACCUAAAAAUAGAAAUCAAAAUUUUACCACUUAUCACUAGAAAAAUUAUUUAGUAGACUCUCGGAUCGUCUUUCCCGUUCUAGUAAAUAGUAAAUCUACACUGCUUCUUGGACAAAGAAAAAAGACACUCUUCAGAGACAGAUGGAGAGAGAGAGAGAGAAAAAAUAUGUAUAUACUAAAAAGAAGAAAAUUAUCCUAAUCAGUAAAGAAAACAUACAUAAAGCCUUCCAAACAAAAUAUAUUAUUAAAAAAUAAAAACUAAACUCCUUUAAAUAAAAAAAAACGAUUGAACGUAAAAAAAGAGAAUAAAGUAAUAAAAUAAAGAAACUACUGCAUGAGACAUAAGGGGAAAGAAGGUUUUAAAAAGAGGAACUUCUUUGUAAAUAAUUAAAAGGAAAUGUUAGACAAACAAAUAAUAAAUUUAUUGUUGAACAUUAAGAUUUUAUAAUUUACUUUGAAAUAAUUUGCCUUGAAUAUCAUCUAACUAAAAACCCAUUAUUAUAUGAGUUUUUAUUUCAAUUUUUUCCGUUUUGCGGUUUGUACAGACACAAUUAAUUCUAUAUUUUGAUAAAACAAAGAAAACAAAACAAUGAAGACAAAGAAAUUUAGCUUAAAAAUAAACUUAACAAAUUGUCAUACAAAAAUUUAUAACAAGACACACGAUAAAGAAAGCAAGGAAAAAAAUAAAUUAAACUAAAAGAAAAAUAUUCAAAGCCAAAAAAACCAUAUCUUGAAAUUUCUAUUUACAACCAAAAUAUUUAAAAUUAUAAAUUAACUUUAAAUUUAAAAAAAUGGAUUAAAAAUUUGAAGAAAUAAGAGAACAUAGUCUGGGUGUUUAUGUCAUCUUGUUGGAUUCCGAGAUUCUUAUAUGUCGUAUUCUGCUUGGGAUUGUCGGAAAUGUUUCAGAACUAAAAUGGUUUAAAAAAAACAAGUUUUUCCGAUAAUUUUACCUAUCGAUAAGUCAAGUCACUUAAACUGAUCAAUUUUUUUAAAAUAAUAAUAAAAAAAGAAGAUUUUGUUCGUUCCAUUCGAUGAAAAUGUAUGAAACUGUCAAAUUUUGUGUGUGUCACCCUCGUAUCUGCAUCUGCUUGACCUCCUUGAUUCUACCCGUAUAUCAAAGUGUAGCAACAUUUAUCUCGCGCUUCGUUCUGGCGGCAACUUCACACAGUAGUAAAUGCUUAUUGAAAUGGGUUGUGAUGAAAGUUCAUGGUUUGACCGUCGAAACUGAUCGCCAGCGCCAAUGUCAACAUUUUCUUUUUGAUUUUUCACUUCAAUGAUCUAUUGAAAUUGAGACAUAGACUCAAUAAACCAUUUUAUUCAACGUAUGCUACAUGCCUGAAACAUAAAUAGUUUCACAAAUUGUGUAUUUACUGAGCGUCAUAGACCUGAAACGUCAUUCUUCUUCUUCUUAAAAUGGCGAAAAUCACAACCCAUUAUUGUGUUAUCGAGCAAAACGAAAAAACUUAUAUCGUGAAAUACUUUCAGAUCGUUCGAGAACUUGCGUUUAUUUAAGUCGGAGUUUAUAAACAGCGGGUCUCCGACACUCAAUAGACAAAAUAUAGUUCCAGACAUAUUCUGAAAUGCUUUUUAAGCGAACACUAUUCAAUUAUCCAUAAAAUAACUCCCAUCUCACUACUCCAAUAUUAUUCAUCUACUUAACCUCAAGAAUUGUAUUCUGCGUCGACCUCACUCAAAUUUCAAAAUAGUAUUUUUUGCUACGAGUGAUGAAAAGUGGAAUUUUUCAGGACUAGUUGGACAAGCUUCCGACGGGUCCUAAAAAGUUCCGCUUUCAUCAAUAGUUACGAGCUAUGAGAAGUUGAACUUUUCGAUGAUAGUUUGCGUGUCGAAUUCCGUCGAAUUUCAGUUUUCAAGCGCAAAAAAAAAUUGUUUCGCCUCUACAGUCUACAAGCCAACGCAGGUUUCCUAUAGGCUCGACACAAAUGCGAUACUGCUUUUCAAACAAAGUUGAAUGGAACGAGCGUCUUCCACAUAAAAUAGUUAUUAACUCAUACCGGUUGAAUCUUUGUGUUAGUUUCUUGUGGGUAAAUGUGUGAUUAGCUCGUGAAGGAAAGAAGAAGUUGCGUAAUUUAAUUCGGGUAGUUCAAAGGUGAACCCGUUCGAAUAGCAACCAGAUUGCCUUUUUUCAGACAGACAGUUCCCAUAUUUUUUUUAAAAAUAUUUUGUUAAUCAAAAAUACUUGUAAUCCCACGGAUGACCUUUUUUGUAACAUAACCGCAUGAACUAAUGGCGACGGAAAUCAGAUUUUUUUAAUAAAAAUAUAAGAAAAAAAUAUCUAAAUUAAAAAAAUGCUUCUUUGGAAUUGACAAAUUAUAAAAUUUAACUACAAAAAUAAAUUAAAAAUUUAAAAAUAAAAUUUAAAAACGAAAUGGAAACUUCAAAUAAUAAAAAAGAGAAAAGGUAAGAAAGUCAACCCUCAACACAGAAAAUCUUAAAAUAUUAUUCAUAAAAAUAAAUAAAAACUCAUAUAAUUACAUUAUUAUAAAGGAAAGUACAGCUUUUUUACGAUAAAAUACUUAGCAAAAUGAUACCACAUAAAUUUAAACAAAAAAAGAAGAAAAUUUAAAAAAAUUAAAGAAACCAAA